AGAGUUAAAUAGUACGUGAAAUUGCUAAAAGGGAAACGUUUGGAAUUAGUGUUGUUGCUGGCAAAUCAGUCAUUCGGAGCGAUUCGGAUGGUGCACUUUGUCAGUGGCAGGUCAACAUCAGUUUUGCUCGGCGGAAAAAGGUGAAGGGAAGGUAGCAGUGCUUUCGGGUGCUGUGUUAUAGCCCUCAUUGAUACGCUGGGUGGGACUGAGGACUGCAGCACAGGCCUUUAGGCUGGCCGCCUGGAGUUUUCUAUUAGCCUCUGAUCGGACAGCACGCUGACCGGUUGGAGAUACUGGUGGAAUUAUUUCAGUCCGGUACAACUGUGCUUAGGAUGUUGACGAAAUGGUUUUAAACGACC
rnacentral:rRNA from 1 species